UACGUAGGGUGCAAGCGUUGUCCGGAAUUAUUGGGCGUAAAGAGCUCGUAGGCGGUUCGUCGCGUCGGCUGUGAAAACACCGGGCUUAACUCGGUGCUUGCUUUCGAUACGGGCAGACUAGAGGUAUGCAGGGGAGAACGGAAUUCCUGGUGUAGCGGUGAAAUGCGCAGAUAUCAGGAGGAACACCGGUGGCGAAGGCGGUUCUCUGGGCAUUACCUGACGCUGAGGAGCGAAAGUGUGGGGAGCGAACAGG
rnacentral:rRNA from 1 species